CGGAGCGGGCCCGGCCCGAGCCCAGCGCCGCCCCGGCACCGGGCCCGCGUCACUUCCUGAGCUGCCGGGCCGGGACUGUCGGGGUUCGGCUGCGCUCCGGGGCAGUCCCGCCGGGCUCUACAGCUCCAGGGCCGAGGGCGGCUCCCGGACCCUCAUCCCGUGAUACGGGUGACGCUGUUGACGGGACUCGGCCUUCUUUUUCCUGAUUCUGGUCACAGCCUUCUCUCAGGCAUCCACCUGCUCCGGCGUGGGGCUCCUCCACGGGCUGCAGGUGACUUAAAAAUGACACAUCAUGCGACACAAGCAGGUGUCAGAGAAACACCAGACUAAAGGAGCUAUCUAUUGCUGUGCAAGCUUUAGUCAAGAUGUCAUUUCAGCUGGCAGCCUGAGAUGUCCAAAGUGUUCAUAUGAAGCUGUGAGCUCUGACAGGUGUAGAGACCCUGCCCAGCAGCAGUAG
rnacentral:lncRNA from 13 species